UCUUCUCACGUACACCGCUGUUCCUUCCCGUGUUUUUCGGAGAUUGCCUAUAAUUUCAGAUUGCAUUUCCACCUCUUGGAUAUGAGCCACCUUCUCGUGAAAUGGGUUACAGAGGACUCAUGAGAUUUCUAUCCCAUCACGUGUUUGUUGGAUCAAAAAACGGCUUCAGCUAUUGCAAAGAAACCGAGCUCCGUCGGCAGCUUUACCGGUAAAGCGUUUCAUAUAAAGUGGGACGAGAAUAAGGAGCCUGACCCGGCAUAUUUGGUUGCAGCAGGUGACCUCAACAAAAUGGAGAAGCUAAGGGCGGAGCUGGCGGCGCACUCAGCGUCAACGCAUGUGGCGGACCAGGGGACGACAUCAGGGUCCCAAAAGCGCACGUCCUCUUCGCAGAAGGAGGACUGUUGCAGUCACAGAGCUGAAGUGAAGGGGCUCCGUAAGCAGGUGAAGCAUCUGAAAUCUCGUCUGGAUGAGGCUGAGAAGAGGCAUGGUUCGUACAGUGCCUGAUUAACUGUGUUGCGUCAU